AGGAGGUGAGGCCGCGGAGGGGAGGAGAGACCGAUGGGGAGAAAGAGGACAGGGCCCUGGGAGGGGAGAGGAGGUGGGGGGCAAUGCAAACUUAGCAGGCACCUGCGGGAGGGGGCUGGGGAGGCCAGGAGACCUGGGAGUGAAGAAAAGAGAAGGGAGGGCGAGAGGAAGGCGCCCCGGUGGUCGGGGGAGGGAAGCCUCCGCUUCUGGUCCGUUUCCUGGGCCCCAGAGGAAGGCGGAGAUGAGGGUCUUGCCCUCUAAGCAUGAGGCCAGCUAAGACUUUCUCACCACGUGGGAACAUUUCAUUGUUUUUAAGGAACCUUUCCAAAUCGAUAGCUUUUAAAAUGACAACCCCCUAUUUGUCCUAGGACUAGACAUGAUGGACAAUUCUGGCCGAGGAACAAGCUCUUGGUGCCCCUUCUGUAAUGUAUAUGUAAACAUCCGCCUUUUGCUGUGUGCGGCUUGCAGAGAAAGUACCGAGAGCAAACCCCAGGGGGCGAGGUCUCAUAUUACAGGUUCUCCCAAUUGUUGAAGCGCCCCUGACAACAGAAUUAUUUGGUUUUCCCAUCCGUGUUUACACUGUCCUUGGUCUCCAGAAUCGAGCGUUUGGGAGUGGAUUUUUAUCUGGCUUCUUGGACACCACUUACUGGCGAACUACAGCUAGGAGAGAUCUUUGAAGCCCGGCUGGGAGGCAGAGGCCUCUGGUGAAGUAUAAAAGCACACACAUUGCUUGCAAUUUCCCCUCCUCUGAUGGUGGAGAAAAAAACUCCUACACGGUGCUCGGGUACAAAGGUGAACAAACACCUUCCCAGGUCUCUAGUGAUGGCUCAUCUCCUGCAGAAAGGUGAGUCGCUGCUGAGGGCUGAAUUCUGAAACCGUCCUGGGCUAAGGAACCUCCUCCUCAGAUUGCACCGAAACAAUAUUCACCGAGGGCAGAAGCAGGCUCAGCCUCGUAAACCCACAGCCGGCCCCGCGUGUAUCUCCUUUCAAUGGCUCCAAACCCAAAAGCAAGGGGACGUGCACUGAGAGGAAGGCGUUUUCUCAGAAGCCUCUCAGCCAACAGUGAGAUGCAGCGGCUGGAAGAAACAGCCAACUUCUGCUGCACUGACAUCUCACGUCUCAGAAAUAACAGUGCGCGUGGACUGACCAGAUGCUGGGGGGUCGAGUUUUCCAGAAAGACACUGGACAGCCAGAAGGAGAACAAUGCGUGGUGAGAGGGCUGGACUCCAUCCUGUGUACGUUCUUUUGGAGGAACGCAGGAUUGGCAGUCGAGACACAGGAGAACAUUUGUGUUUUGUGAAAGAACUCGUAGGUUAAAGUGAUGAAGGGACAAGUUUAACUUCCCUCGAGGAAAAUAUUGUAACGACCGAGAUCUCCAAGGGAGCAGACGGAAGGGUGGUGACAGUGAGCUCCUGGCCGUCGGGGGCGCUCAGAGAGAGCAUCGUUCAGAGAUGCUGUAGAAAGUGUCUCCUGCAUGAGGUGCAUUGUGGUUUGAGGGAUACAGUGAGGUCAGUGCCCCCUGGAGAGGAGCUGUUUGUCCAGCCACAGGCUGGCAGGAUGUUGGAGGGGGCCCCUAUGUUCCGUAGUCUGGUUCUCAACUUUCCUCCGCUUGUAACCCAGAGGAUGUCAAUGGAUCAGAUUCAUGGGAUUGACUCAUGUUAACCAAACUGGUCAAAAGCAGAUGUAUAAACCAGAACGUUAUUUAUUAAUAGGCAAUGGAGGGACUAUAGUAAAGGUGAUUCCGAGGUCUAAUGAUUAAUCAGAAGGUUGUGUUUUGAGCACUAAAUUAAAUUACAGCUGAAGGUAGGCUAAUCUUUCUCAUUCAGUUUUGAGAGGAGGACUACACCUCUCCAGUCCCUGCAAGGCUUGAGUACACCAGUCAGUGUCUCCAACCUCCGGCCAGGACCACAUACACUCGGUGAAAUUCGUGCUUUUGGGGGCCCAGUUUAUCGAUGUCCUGAGCUCCCCUUCUUUCACAUGUUCUUUAAGUCAAGUGAAAUAGAAUUAAUUAGGCUUCAGCUUUCUCAGUUACAACCACAUCUCAGACAUACCUGCUGGAGAUUAUAUUCAAGUCACACAGAUCCAAUUUGGGGUGUUGGUGUUCCAGAAACUCUUCUGUUGCAGGAAUGUUGUGAAUGCCCCAAAGCCCACACCCUGCAAUGUCGAGGCAGAGACCAGCUGCACGGCGCCCACAUCGCCUCCGGGCUCCCAGGUGGCACCACCCUGGAAGAACUUGCAGGGUCCAGGGCUGGGCAGCAGCUGGCUUGCAACUUCCGAACCACACAAACGGUGGGAGGCACAAAGAGCUCAGAGACGGAUCUGUGUAAGCCAGAACGCCACUUACUAAUUUACAAGAGAUCAACCCAGGCAAGUGUGCAUGCUCACGUCAGCCUGGCUGACAUUCCCUUCCUAUACACAAGCCACGUGGGAAGCCAAAUUCUCAUCACGAUGCUUGGUAAUAUAAAACAGAGCACGAGGA